AUGCAGCCAUGCCGCGUGUAUGAAGAAGGCCUUCGGGUUGUAAAGUACUAUCAGCGGGGAGGAAGGUGUUGUGGUUAAUAACCGCAGCAAUUGACGUUACCCGCAGAAGAAGCACCGGCUAACUCCGUGCCAGCAGCCGCGGUAUUACGGAGGGUGCAAGCGUUAAUCGGAAUUACUGGGCGUAAUGCGCACGCAGGCGGUCUGUCUAGUCGGAUGUGAAAUCCCCGGGCUCAACCUGGGAACUGCAUUCGAAACUGGCAGGCUUGAGUCUUGUAGAGGGGGGUAGAAUUCCAGGUGUAGCGGUGAAAUGCGUAGAGAUCUGGAGGAAUACCGGUGGCGAAGGCGGCCCCCUGGACAAAGACUGACGCUCAGGUGCGAAAGCGUGGGGAGCAAACAGGAUUAGAUGCC
rnacentral:rRNA from 1 species